AUAUGUUUUGUUGAUGGUCCUCUAACCAUUAAAGUCACUUUCCUUGAGAAUAUUAGAAUAUACUUGUAAUGGUUAGAUGACCAUCAACAAACACGUU
rnacentral:pre_miRNA from 1 species